GGCGGGAAUUAUUUCUUUUUAUUCUUUCAGUAAAAAUGAGAAAUAAAGAUCAAUUGGGUUUUCGCCACGUAGGAGCAUUUGAAAUGGUAACCCACUAAGUUCUUGCCAUGUCAUCAAAUGGGUCUGCUAAAUUGUGGGUCCUGUUUGAUGCAUGGGAGAUAUUUGUUGGGUUCUUUUACAAUUCUUGAGCUUGAACGCACAAGAACCUUUUUAUUUUUCUUUAGGACUUUUUACUUUUCUUGAUACUGAUUUACGUUGGAGCUGUGCAUUAUCUAGUAUCUUAACCCAUUUCUUUGAGAAAUGUGUAGCUAUCAGCCAUGGGAAGAUGAUUCAUCAGAAGUAGAUGAUAAUGCACGUAGAAUAAAUGGCAUGGAGCGUGUCGAUGCGAGGUGGGAAACACAAAUGGCAAUGCUGGAGGCACGGAUCGCAAAUGUUGAAGCUCGGGUGGAAAGGCUUGAGGCAAGGAUGUUAUAUUUGCAAAAGGGGCUGCGGGUAUUGUGUGGGUUAUUUUUGGUCACUCUUUUUUAUGCUAUAUGCAAAUGAAUCUCCAAGAUUAUCACUGAUUAGUUUUAGGCUUGUAGUGGCAUUGUUCAUAGUUAGAUGCGCACUUGAAAGGUCCUUUGUAUAAAAUACACUCUUCUUGCUGUUGUUUCCUUUAGAAAGACAGAUGCUUACAAGAUUCAUAAAUGUAAAAAGUUCAGAUAAUUAUGUUUUGUUAGUCUCUCUUCA